GAUGAACGCUGGCGGCGUGCCUAAUACAUGCAAGUCGAGCGAACGGAUGAGGAGCUUGCUCCUCUGAUGUUAGCGGCGGACGGGUGAGUAACACGUGGAUAACCUACCUAUAAGACUGGGAUAACUUCGGGAAACCGGAGCUAAUACCGGAUAAUAUAUUGAACCGCAUGGUUCAAUAGUGAAAGACGGUCUUGCUGUCACUUAUAGAUGGAUCCGCGCUGCAUUAGCUAGUUGGUAAGGUAACGGCUUACCAAGGCAACGAUGCAUAGCCGACCUGAGAGGGUGAUCGGCCACACUGGAACUGAGACACGGUCCAGACUCCUACGGGAGGCAGCAGUAGGGAAUCUUCCGCAAUGGGGGAAAGCCUGACGGAGCAACGCCGCGUGAGUGAUGAAGGUCUUCGGAUCGUAAAACUCUGUUAUUAGGGAAGAACAAAUGUGUAAGUAACUGUGCACAUCUUGACGGUACCUAAUCAGAAAGCCACGGCUAACUACGUG
rnacentral:rRNA from 1 species